rfam:Ktedonobacter racemifer DSM 44963 strain SOSP1-21 Krac_Contig205, whole genome shotgun sequence.
GUCAGGUACCCCAUGCCUCUGCGGCAGGGGCUUGUGAGAGCAAGCCUGAAUCUGACCAGACUCAGCCCUGGGCCUUCUGCUUCGGUGGGAGGUUAUCGAGCUACGAUAGUAUUGGGAAGUGUUGACGUUCCUACCUCCGGGUGCGUGCCAGCCUGGAGCUCUAGAAUCUCUGGGUUAAACAGGUGGAGAGGGGUGAAGCCAGUGCUCAGAGAAAAGUACCGCCCACUAUCUUUGUCGAGGCAACCAUUAC